CAGCAGCUGACAACUGCUGAGCUCUCCUUCGACCUUUGGAUGGUGGCUGACAGCCUGUUUUCCUUCCACAGGUGCAGAGCUGAGAAUGCGACUAGGACCUCCCGAUAAGGGCAGCCGUCCAGCUGGCAUGUGGCAGAUCCCCAGGCAGGGUCACUGGCAGUAUUUGAGCAAUCUCUUUUUCCCCAGGUCACUGUAGUCACAGAGGGCAUAAGUGACAGAGUGCCCCAGCCUGUCGCUGGUCUCUGUUGACAGUGAUGGGAAAACAUCCCCAUCGUCAGCACAUGCAUGCAGUGGUGGUACCGUGGCACCUACGGGGGACACCGUAAGCCACAACACGCGGAUGAUACAAAUAGGCAAGAGUCACCAGAAGAAGUUGUCCACUAGAGAAAUCUGCAUGGGAUUCAGAAGAGGGAAAUGAAGGAGAAGCCCUUUCUUCAGCUCUCCGAAGGACUCUUCUGCAGCCCUCCAAAGGUGUCGUUCAUCUAUCCGUUAGAGCUGUGGACCUGGGGUGGUGUCUCCACCAGCCCCAAUGGUCAGCCCCUUCUGGCCUUCGCGUCCUGGGCCGGGCAGGCGUGUAAGGCCAUGGUGAAAAGAGUUCAGCUGCUCCUGUGGCUGACGUAUAUCAUGGGGAUCAGAGGCAAAGAGAAGAGACAAAGUUCUCGUGUACCUCGGAGGUUCUAGACUGUCUUUGGUCUCCCCAAUUCCUGCCUAUCUUCCCAACCACCAGUUCUGCUGACGUCAGGCCUGGUGCCAGAACCAGAAUCAAGGGACCUUGAGAACGCUUACUCAGCGCCCACAAUUGCUUAAGGUUUAAUCACAUAAUAAAUCCCUUUUCUGUCCC